UUUUAAGGCAUGUUUUGGGUUGGUGAGGCCAAGAAAAAGACAGGAACAUAGCCAGUAUCUACAUGAGGCCACAAACAGGUACAGACUCAACAAGCUCUGGUCACCGGAGAAGAUGGCUGUUUGCAGGACCCUGACCACAAGACUAUCCUUCUGGGCAGCCUGGCCCCUUGCUUCUUAGGCUCUGGUCAUCUCUCCACACCAGCUGUCCCAGAGGCCAUUUUAGACGGCUGGGUUUGCUCAGGAGCCUCAGCGUUCUCUGUCCAGGAGAAGGGACAGCGUCAAGGAGGACUCCAGCAGAGAACCCUGGGAGGUGUCUAGCAUGGAGAAGAUGCUCUCUUAAUGAUCACCUCUCACCCCCUUCAGCUUUAGAGGCAGGCAUGGAUCCCAGGAUGGACACGGAGACUGCCCCUUGGGGGUUUUGCAGCAACUAUGGGGAAAGAGGCAUUUGUUGU